rnacentral:rRNA from 1 species
GACAGAGGGUGCAAACGUUUGUUCGGAAUUACUGGGCGUAAAGCGUGUGUAGGCGGCCCUGCAAGUCAGGUGUGAAAGCCCCAGGCUCAACCUGGGAAGUGCACUUGAAACUGCAAGGCUUGAGUCCGGGAGAGGGGGGGUGGAAUUCCCAGUGUAGCGGUGAAAUGCGUAGAUAUUGGGAGGAACACCGGUGGCGAAGGCGGCCCCCCUGGACCGGUACUGACGCUGAGGCGCGAAAGCGUGGGUAGCAAACGGG